rnacentral:rRNA from 1 species
CAGCACAUGAGUAGCAAUACGAUGGUGGCGACCGGCGCACGGGUGAGUAACACGUAUGCAACCUACCUUUAACAGGGGAAUAACCCGUUGAAAAACGGACUAAUACUCCAUAACACAGGGGUCCCGCAUGGGAAUAUUUGUUAAAGAUUAAUCGGUUGAAGAUGGGCAUGCGUUCCAUUAGCUUGUGGUGAGGUAACGGCUCACCAAGGCCACGAUGGAUAGGGGAACUGAGAGGUUUAUCCCCCACACUGGAACUGAGACACGGUCCAGACUCCUACGGGAGGCAGCAGUGAGGAAUAUUGGUCAAUGGAGGCAACUCUGAACCAGCCAAGUCGCGGUUAGAAGGAUGAAGGUCUUAUGGACUGUAAACUUCUUUUGCAAGGGGAAUAAAGUGGGGGACGUGUCCUCCUUUGCAUGUACCUCGCGAAUAAGGAUCGGCUAACUCCGUGCCAGCCGCCGC